CGUACACUCCUACGGGAGGCAGCAGUGGGGAAUAUUGCACAAUGGGCGCAAGCCUGAUGCAGCCAUGCCGCGUGUAUGAAGAAGGCCUUCGGGUUGUAAAGUACUUUCAGCGGGGAGGAAGGCGAUAAGGUUAAUAACCUUGUCGAUUGACGUUACCCGCAGAAGAAGCACCGGCUAACUCCGUGCCAGCAGCCGCGGUAAUACGGAGGGUGCAAGCGUUAAUCGGAAUUACUGGGCGUAAAGCGCACGCAGGCGGUCUGUCAAGUCGGAUGUGAAAUCCCCGGGCUCAACCUGGGAACUGCAUUCGAAACUGGCAGGCUAGAGUCUUGUAGAGGGGGGUAGAAUUCCAGGUGUAGCGGUGAAAUGCGUAGAGAUCUGGAGGAAUACCGGUGGCGAAGGCGGCCCCCUGGACAAAGACUGACGCUCAGGUGCGAAAGCGUGGGGAGCAAACAGGAUUAGAUACCCGGGUAGUCCCAUGAU
rnacentral:rRNA from 1 species